GCUCCACUGUGAUUCACAGUGCUCUAAUGUGAUAUCACAGUGCUACACUGUAGUGUCACAGGGCUCAAAUGCUGUGUCAUAGUGCUCACUGUGGCAUCAU
rnacentral:miRNA from 1 species